UACCUCAGCGCUCGCUCAGCUCUCCCAGUGUCCAUCAUCUGUAUGAUACGCUCCAGCUCUCUAACCUGUCCGAGUAGAUACUGACGCUCCAUACUCAUCGCCUCAAACUCAUGAUAAGGAACAAGGGGUGGUGCAGAAGAAGUCGAGGGUAUAUCUCUGGGAGGAACCACUGCUGCUGCAGCCAACACAUCCUCUAAAGGGGGUGAAACAGGAGGGUGAGGCUCAAGUCUCUGAGGGGGUGGGGGUCCGUUAACUGUAGUCUCUGAAUACUGGGGAUAUGGAGGAAUGAUAGGGUCUGACAUC
rnacentral:lncRNA from 1 species